rnacentral:lncRNA from 1 species
GCUUGUCAAUAAUUUCCUUGAACCAGUAAAAAAUCCCAUAAAAAUCUGAAGUAAAUUGGUGUAUAAUUAAUUUUAAUUUAAUACAUCCUACACUACAGUAUAUUUCUACACAUACCAGGGCUGACAUGAAAAAUAGAGGCAUUCUGGCGAGUAAUAUCUUUAGAAAGAUACAAUUUGAGUUGCGCUUGCGGAAUGCAGCAAUAAGACUUUGAUCCGGAGAUCAAUUUGGUGUUUUGUUAAGCCUAUUUUUCAAAAAUAAUGAAUAAUGAAAAAUUUUUGUGCGGCAGAUAAAUCCCAUGCGGGCGGGGACGAGAAACAUGAUAUCAAUUUAAUUGGCCUUAAUAUGUGUGGCUAAGCACAUUUUACUUUUUGAUACUGAAUUACUUUAGCACCAGUGUGUUUCAAGAAAAGUAGACUGCACUUGAUCAAUAGCUUAUUACAUAUGUAUGUCUUUCAUGGAAAAUAAAGUAC